UACGUAGGGCGCAAGCGUUAUCCGGAAUUAUUGGGCGUAAAGAGCUCGUAGGCGGUUUGUCGCGUCUGCCGUGAAAGUCCGGGGCUCAACUCCGGAUCUGCGGUGGGUACGGGCAGGCUAGAGUGAUGUAGGGGAGACUGGAAUUCCUGGUGUAGCGGUGAAAUGCGCAGAUAUCAGGAGGAACACCGAUGGCGAAGGCAGGUCUCUGGGCAUUAACUGACGCUGGAGGAGCGAAAGCAUGGGGAGCGAACAGG
rnacentral:rRNA from 1 species